rnacentral:piRNA from 1 species
GUUAAAAUGGAGAGAGGAGUCUGG